rnacentral:rRNA from 1 species
GAUGAACGCUGGCGGCGUGCCUAAUACAUGCAAGUCGAGCGAACAGACGAGGAGCUUGCUCCUCUGACGUUAGCGGCGGACGGGUGAGUAACACGUGGAUAACCUACCUAUAAGACCGGGAUAACUUCGGGAAACCGGAGCUAAUACCGGAUAAUAUAUUGAACCGCAUGGUUCAAUAGUGAAAGACGGUUUUGCUGUCACUUAUAGAUGGAUCCGCGCCGCAUUAGCUAGUUGGUAAGGUAACGGCUUACCAAGGCAACGAUGCGUAGCCGACCUGAGAGGGUGAUCGGCCACACUGGAACUGAGACACGGUCCAGACUCCUACGGGAGGCAGCAGUAGGGAAUCUUCCGCAAUGGGCGAAAACCUGACGGAGCAACGCCGCGUGAGUGAUGAAGCUCUUCGGAUCGUAAAACUCUGUUAUUAGGGAAGAACAAAUGUGUAAGUAACUAUGCACGUCUUGACGGUACCUAAUCAGAAAGCCACGGCUAACUACGUG